GCCUGGGUGGCUCAGUCAGUUGAGCGUCCGACUUCGGCUCGGGUCAUGAUCUCGCAGUUUGUGAGUUCGAGCCCCACGUUGGGCU
rnacentral:tRNA from 1 species